GGCUGGAUGUCCGAGCGGUCUAAGGAGCCAGACUCAAGAUCGUAAAACAUCUUAUUCUCCCAAAAGAGAAUCGCAUUCUGGUCUCGAAAGAGGCGCGCGUUCGAAUCGCGCUCCAGUCA